rnacentral:rRNA from 1 species
GGGUGAACGCUAGCGGCAGGCUAACACAUGCAAGUCGAGGGGGCAUCGGGAGUAGCAAUACUGCCGGCGACCGGCGCAAGGGUGCGUAACGCGUGAGCAACAUGCCCGUAUCAGGGGGGAUAAUCCAUGGAAACGUGGUCUAAUACCCCAUAGUAAUUAUGUAAGGCAUCUUAUAUAAUUUAAAGCUUUGGUGGAUACGGAUUGGCUCGCGUGACAUUAGCUGGAUGGUAAGGUAACGGCUUACCAUGGCUACGAUGUCUAGGGGUUCUGAGAGGAAGGUCCCCCCACACUGGAACUGAGACACGGUCCAGACUCCUACGGGAGGCAGCAGUGAGGAAUAUUGGACAAUGGAUGGAAAUCUGAUCCAGCCAUGCCGCGUGCAAGGAAGACGGCCCUAUGGGUUGUAAACUGCUUUUGUAUGGGAGCAAUAAGGGCUACGUGUAGUCCGAUGAGAGUACCAUACGAAUAAGCACCGGCUAACUCCGUGCCAGCAGCCGC